rnacentral:lncRNA from 10 species
GGGGCAUUGAGAAAUAUCUCUGGACCAAUCACCUAAAAGAUGUGACUCUCCUCACUUGCCUGGACUCUGCUCAGAAUAGAGAUUUCGACACAUCAGUGGGUUCAACACCUAGGUGAUGCGGCUCUUCCUUCUUUUCUGGGCUCUUCCAUCAGAGAAGAUUGUGACAUUUUCUGAGCCCAGCACUCAAGUGAGGUGACUUGUCUCCCUGGACUCUCCCCACAGACAGCAUUGUGAAAUAUCUUUGGGAUCAUCACCUAGGUUACUGGGAUCUCAAUGUAGAUGUUAUGUCCAGACAGAGGCUGCUGUGAGCUGAAUCGUCUGCUUCCCAAAAUUCCUAUGUUGACACCUUAACCCCCAGCACCUAAGAAUGUGACUAUAUUUGGAGAUAGCAUCAUCACAGAGUCUCAGGGAUGUCUUUAUCAGCAGUAUGAAAAUGAACCAAUUCAUCCCACUUCACUGUUUGAAGAAAAACUGCUGGCUCUAUGGGGUCUUCAAUUUACUGAAUGAUUCCUAGAUGCCUGGCCCUAAUUCACUCAAGAGUCAAGAAAGGUGCCACCUUAUGGUGCUCACUGGGCGGUUGUGGAUGUCUAACCUCAGUGCUAGUCACACAGAACCUGAAGCCAGGCUGGCUGCUCCU